rnacentral:rRNA from 1 species
CCUACGGGGGGCUGCAGUGGGGAAUAUUGGACAAUGGGGGCAACCCUGAUCCAGCCAUGCCGCGUGUGUGAAGAAGGACCUCGGGUUGUAAAGCACUUUCAGUGAGGAAGAACGCCUGGUGGUUAAUACCCAUCAGGAAAGACAUCACUCACAGAAGAAGCACCGGCUAACUCCGUGCCAGCAGCCGCGGUAAUACGGAGGGUGCGAGCGUUAAUCGGAAUUACUGGGCGUAAAGCGCGCGUAGGUGGCUUGAUAAGCCGGUUGUGAAAGCCCCGGGCUCAACCUGGGAACGGCAUCCGGAACUGUCAAGCUAGAGUGCAGGAGAGGAAGGUAGAAUUCCCGGUGUAGCGGUGAAAUGCGUAGAGAUCGGGAGGAAUACCAGUGGCGAAGGCGGCCUUCUGGACUGACACUGACACUGAGGUGCGAAAGCGUGGGUAGCAAACAGGAUUAGAUACCCUGGUAGUC